rnacentral:rRNA from 1 species
UACAGAGGUCUCAAGCGUUUGUUCGGAUUCAUUGGGCGUAAAGGGUGCGUAGGCGGCGCGGUAAGUCGGGGUGUGAAAUCUUGGAGCUUAACUCCGAAACUGCAUUCGAUACUGCCGUGCUUGAGGACUGGAGAGGAGACUGGAAUUUACGGUGUAGCGGUGAAAUGCGUAGAUAUCAUGAGGAAUACCAGAGGCGAAGGCGGCUACCUGGACAAUUGCUGACGCUCAGGCACGAAAAGCGUGGGGGAGCAAAAAGGG